AUAAGACCAUGUUUUUUAAUAUAUAUACAAUAAGAGUAUUUAGUUUUGGUACAAAGAGAUCAUAACCAUUAAUAAACUUUUAGAUAUGAAAUCAGGUGGUUUGGUUGGGAAUGCGUAGCACAAAGUCCAAAAUUUAAUAAAUGAGGUUUCUAAAAGGCUUAGGCUUUAUGAAAACAAAAUAUAACCUCACCUCAAAUCUUUGUUUGGAAAGUACUUUCUACGGCAUAAAUCUUUAGGAUGGCUCUAAAAUCAACUUUCAACUCCGAAAAUAAAAUUUGAAGCUAAAAAAAUGGUACAAAACUUGCAAAUUUGUAAACAAUUAUUUUGAAGAGAAAAUGGAC
rnacentral:lncRNA from 1 species